CCCUUAGAUGUCCUGGGCCGCACGCGCGCUACACUGAGUGUCUGAGAUACGAGUCUGCCUGGUCCGGCAAGGUCUAGGUAAUCGCUAAAAGACACAUCAUGCUUGGGAUAGAUUAUUGCAAAUAUUAAUCUUGAACGAGGAAUUCCUAGUAAGCGCAAGUCAGCAGCUUGCGUUUAUUACGUCCCUGCCCUUUGUACACACCGCCCGUCGCUACUACUGAUUGGAUGUUUAAGCGAGGUUCUCGAACUGCUAGCGACUUAGCUUCGGUGAGGUCGCAGUGUGGGAAGUGAACCUAGCUUUGGUGUCUAGAGGAAGUAAAAGUCGUAACA
rnacentral:rRNA from 1 species